ACCUUUUUAGUAUAGCUGUACAGCCGUCUUCCACACGGCAAGCCUAAAUAAACUUAGACAAGGUA
rnacentral:tRNA from 1 species